rnacentral:pre_miRNA from 1 species
CUUUCUCUUCUUCCAGUUGGCCAGUCUAUGCUUGAGACGAUAUCGUGGUCGCUAUCGUCUCAAGCAUAGACUGGCCAACUGGAAGAAGAGAAAGC